UCAGACAUACCUUUAAAGUAUGCCAGAGUUCUUGAGUUUCAUUUAAAAGCCUAACUUAAGUGGAGACUGAAGUAAGUUAACCUUCGGCUUUUUCCUUUGCCAAGUUAUAUUUGAAAUUCAUUCUUGGAAUUGAGCAAUCAGCUGGUCAAAGAAUUUAAUAUUGAAAUUUUCCUAGGAUUACAGAGAUUCUCCUGGGGCCACAGACAACCCAUUCCAGCAGCCCCCGGGGGUGCAGGAGAAGAUGAUGGACAGGAUUCUGGCUAGCAGGAAACUGGAGGGUUUCAACUAUACUGACAGGAUACAAUCCAGCUUGUGAAAGGAAUCCUGGCCAGAGGUUGUGUGAAGGAGCUGCUUACAGUGGAGGCUCACCAGGGUGGUCCCUGCCCAGAAGGGGGUCUUCUUGGAACGAGUCUCUGAUUCACUGGGGAAGACCAGCUGAGACAAAAGGAGGACUUGGCAUCUGCUUAGCCCCACCUAACUGGGAUUGUCACUUACUGUAGGGUCCAAGAUUCAGUCUGAGACUGCCAGCCUGAGACUCCCUUCAGGGGGGCUUCACAGGGGACAGGGAACAAGUCCCAGCUUUGGGGUCUCCAAUUUACAAGCUAGUCCUACACGUUGGGGUUCAUCGGAUCUUACUAGGCUACCACUUUGGGGCUUCUAGAUUCCAUGUUGACACUCAGUUUCCUUCUCUGUGACAAGGGGAGAUCCCAGCACCUCCUCCCCAGGCUUGGGGAUCACAGAUCCAGUGAGUGAUCAGUCAACAUUUAUUAAACACCUGCUGUGUGCCAGGCUGUAGUCUGAAGCAGCUUCCAGUCUAAAGAAGAAGAUGCAGGGCGGGACUGGAAGGGGAAACAGGGGAGGAGGAAGAAGGCUGCAGCCACCAGGCUGGGGAACAAUUGGUGUGUGGCCCCUCCCCCACUGUGGACCGACUACAUUUCCCAGAAUGUCUGUGUGAUGACUUCACGAACCUCUUGGCGCCUCCCUUUGUGGCCCUCCGGGGGCAUGCUGGGAAUGUCACGAGGGCUGUCUCCUUUCCUGGAUUGCUCCCUCGUGUUUCCUGGAUCUUUCUUCCUUUAGGGAGCUGAGGAAGUGGAGUGAACUAGUGCACAGGCGCGGCCGGAGCUCCCUGCUCUGGCGGAGAAGACUUUCUACUCUGUAUGUCCUGCGAGGAGAGAAGACGCGGGUGGCCGCGUUGCGGGUAACUGAGCCCGGGAUUGUGGGGGAAGGAGGCGGUGGGGAGAGACGUGGAGCUUCGCCACCUAGGCACUGGAGAGGUGUACAAAGAGCAGGUCUCCCCACCUCGGGGCUCCCACCCCCCCCUGAAGGAGCACAAUCUGUCUGGAGCAGAGACCCCAGAGCCAGAGGGAAUGGCCCCCGGGACCCUGAGGUUCCCUUCCCAGGUGAGUGGGGUCCAUCUUGCUAUGCUAGGAUUUGGGGUAAGGAAAGAAGAAGAGGGAACCUAUAAAUACAAUUCGAUUUAUUGUUUGUGAAGUAUAGUAAGGAAUAAGGGUUUAGGAAUAAACUUUACUUAAUUUUAAAACUAAUAUAUAUU
ensembl:lncRNA